rnacentral:rRNA from 1 species
UACGUAGGGUGCAAGCGUUGUCCGGAAUUAUUGGGCGUAAAGAGCUCGUAGGCGGUUCGUCGCGUCGGCUGUGAAAACCCGGAGCUCAACUCCGGGCCUGCAGUCGAUACGGGCGGACUUGAGUGUUGCAGGGGAGACUGGAAUUCCUGGUGUAGCGGUGAAAUGCGCAGAUAUCAGGAGGAACACCCAUAGCGAAGGCAGCUUGCUGGGACGUUACUGACGCUAAGGCGCGAAAGCGUGGGGAGCGAACAGG